UUAAUGUUUGUCUUCAUUUCUCACUAUCUGCAUCUGGUUUAAUUGAAUAUAAAUUAAUGCUAAUUUUCCUUAGAUCAAGUCAGUUUCGCUCACAGUAGCAAUUAGCAAGUGCUAUUCCUGCUUUGACCCAUGAGCUUUCUUUUUCUCAUUUUGUCUUGCCUUGGAAAGGGAGUAAACGAGCAUCUUGGUGGGAGCUGGCCUGUUAGAAAAGGCUAACCACCGUGAAUUUGAAAAACUAAAUGAGGAAACUAAAGCUAAAAUUCAGAAUGAGAGACAAAUAGUAUCUAAACAAUCACAGAGACGCUCAAGACAGAGAUUCCCACAGAAAUGCAGGAGUUUCCAUUUCCACCCUGACUUACUGAGAAAUUGGCAGUCCUGCUACCAAGGUCUGCAACCAGCUUAGAGGAGAAGGAAAGGGAGGGGUUUUCUGCCUUUCCAUCAGCAAUGACUUCCUGCUCUCCAGGAUAAGUUGCAUCAAGAUUUUCUCUGUGCAGGGAAGACAUAUAACAUAUGCAGGAUGAAGUGAAUGUACCACAAGAGAAAAGUUUAGAGAACCUAUAGAGUUCCCAAGUGCCUGGAAAAGAGACCUGCGCUGACAUCUCAGAUAUCCACACUGUUUUUGCUUAAGAUGAUGCAAAUUAUAUGUGCACAUCUCCAGAUGGUGUCAGGACCCUGCGAGCGUUAGCUCUAAGUGGAGCAAAGGAGAAUAUUCUGAAAUACUCCAUGGAUGCAAUGGUGGUUCCAGUGAAGCCAGUAGUAUCUUCAACUUUGGUGUCCACACAACUGAGAUUUUAUUCU